rnacentral:misc_RNA from 1 species
GAAAUGCGAUAAGUAAUGUGAAUUGCAGAAUUCAGUGAAUCAUCGAAUCUUUGAACGCACAUUGCGCCCGCCAGUAUUCUGGCGGGCAUGCCUGUUCGAGCGUCAUUUCAACCAUCAAGCCCCCCGGCUUGUGUUGGGGACCUGCGGCUGCCGCAAGCCCUGAAAAGCAGUGGCGGGCUCGCUGUCACACCGAGCGUAGUAGCAUACAUCUCGCUCUGGGCGUGCUGCGGGUUCCGGCCGUUAAACCACCUUCGUAACCCAAGGUUGACCUCGGAUCAGGUAGGAAGACCCGCUGAACUUAAGC